UUGUUCUCUUGUUAUGCCUUGAGAUGAGUCUCUUUGUGUUCUCUUGGUGUGCCUUGAGAUUGAGUUAUCUGUGUGGUGUUAUUCCCCAGUAUUGGGGACGCAGGCUUGGGACUCUGCUGGAGUCAAGUCUUGAGUUGUAGGCUUGGUAGUUGAUUAUUGCCCGUUGGCGUUGGGUUGGCGUUGUGAGGCCUGAUUGACUAUGGCACUGAGAUUAAGGUGUGCUAUAGUCCUUUGAAUGUAAUUUGUAAUUGCUAUUGAUAUUUAUUCAUAAUGUAUGCCUCAGAAUAUCAUAUAUAUCAUUAA
rnacentral:sRNA from 1 species